rnacentral:lncRNA from 10 species
GAGGAAGAAGGGGUGAGAGGGAGAAACCUGCCGCCGCUCGCCGCCUCUUUGUCUGCUCCGGGACUUGGAACAAAAGGGGGAACUCUGAUGAACUCUCUUUCCUCCCCUCUCCCCCGGACGCCGGGGUAUCUCCCUCUCGCAACUUUGCCGCCCCGACUUUCUCUGCUGUCAGGCCGGGAAAAAGUGUCCGAACGCCUCGUGGACUGCAGCGGGGGAAAUGUCCCUUAAAAGUGCGACGAAGUGGGGAAGAAGGUGUAAUUACUAUUAUCAGCAUCUAGAAAGCAUCAUGAAUUUGCUGGAGUACUUCCUAGCACUGACCUCCUUCAUUCUGCGUUGUUCUUACUGGAUCUUUCCAUCAGCCAACAAUAUGGAAGUACCAAUACAAGGUCAAAUCAUUCCUGGAUUCAUCUGGAGUUGCUUAAAAGUUAAAUCAUUGGAAUUUUUGAUGAUACCUUUUCUAUAUGGAUUACAAUUUGAUCGCUGGGAAUUCUCCACCUUAAAGAAGUACCCUCAGGUGACUACAGAUGUGUUAACACCCAGCAUGUUCCGGUAGGAGACUUUCUGGAUGGGGAAGAUUUCCAGGAAUUGGCAACAAGCUCAUUUCACUGGUGGGUUUGCUGAAGCAUUAUCACAAGACAGUCAGAAUGACUGAUGAGUGCUCUUCAGGUGUGAAUCAUGGCAAUACAGUGAAAGACAGUGAUUUACUGCUUUUGAGGGCGUGCAUGUAUAUGAUUAACGGAUGGAAGUGCAGGACUCCAAGAUUUACUUCCUUCCCUUUCCAGCAGAAUUACCUGAGACGAGUAAAAUCUACUGGUGGAGUCACUCCAUUAUUCUUAUCUGUGGAGAUCUAGAUCUUGAUUUGAAAGUUUCUGAGAAAAUCUUCAGCUCAGACUUGAGGGUCAACUUUACCAGCUGAAGGAUCUGCAUUUACUGCUCAACCACAUCUAAUUUGAUGUCCUCUGCAGAUUUAAAAUGUGUGCCUUCUUUUCCGUCACCAAGUCAUCCCUGGGUUACUACUGAACAUCCUUCUCAAUUCCCCCCGACCCAUGGAUGGCUGUUCUCCAUUGUCUGUUUCACCAGAUGUCCUCAAAACAAACAGACAGAAGAAGGAAGUGGCUAAUGGAGCUGUGGAGUCCAAGUGUGACUGCCAAGAGGAAUCCAGCAAAGCCAAAAAGCCCAAGCAUGUAGCCCUGCCCGAAGCACGCCACACGCAUGGAAAACCCAGAGGAAAUGAGUGAGGAUCAAUGGGAAGAAGAGAGCCAGCCAGGAAGUUGAAGAUUUGUCCAGGAGCAGAUAGCUGAAGAGAGAGAGAGAGAAGAGAGAACGGCUUACAGCUCAGUUCUGGAGACCAGAAGGCCAAAAUCAAAAGUAUGGGCAGGCUUGAUUUCUUUAGAAGACUCCAGCGGAGAACUGUGUCUCCUUGCUUCUGAUUCUACAUCUCCAUCCAUGGGCCACUGUUUCAGCAACCUCAGCCAGUGCAACACAACCUCAGCCAAGAAGAGUAUGCAGAGAAAGGAGUCCCCUACCUGCCACAAAACUGUUGUCUGAAAACUGUCUCAUAUUGUCUCAAGUUGUCAUUCAUUGUGAAUUAGACCUGUUUAACAUGUAAUCUGCAACAUGCUUCACUGUCUAAUUUUCCAGAGCCCCUCAUAUAAGGAACUGUAUUAUUGGUAUAAUCAUCAUGGUGAAGAAGUUGGUAUGUGGGGGAGAGAUGACAGAAACAGAGAGUAAGUCAGAGCUGGCUGCCUGACAGAUAAAAAGGAAAUGACCAAAAAAAAAAAAAAAGACACAGAAGAAUACUUUGUUGUCCACACAGAAAAGGGAAGUGUAGGUAAGACAGCAGUAGACUAAGAUUCUUAAGACUCAAGUUCUAGUCUUAUUUAUUAGCUAUGGGAGGCCUUGAGGGAGUUCUAGAAUUAAGUGAUCUCUCUUUAUAAAAUAGGAACAGUAAUAACUUCCUGGCUAACUCCCUGGCUGUCUCACAAUGCUGUAGUAGUAAGAAAUAAUUUUAUAAUUAAAGACUAUUUUAGGGCUGAUUACAUUUUUGGGCAGUGGCUCAUACAUGUAAUUUCAACAUUUUGGGAGGCCAAGGUGGGCGGAUUGCUUGAGCCCAGGAAUUCAAGACCAGGCUGGGCAACACAGACCUUGUCACUACAAAAGAAAAAAACAUUAGCUAGGCGUGGUGAUGUAUGCCUGUGGUCCCAGCUACUCAGGAAGCUGAGACAGGAGGAUCACCUGAGCCUGGGAGGUCGAGGCUACAGUGAGCCAUGAUCACACUACUGCACUCCAGCCUGGGAAACAGAGUGAGACUCUGUCUCAAAAAAAAAAAAAAAGGAAUAUUUUACACUUCAAGGUUCUAUACAAAUGUAAAAUAUCAUUCUAUUACUUAUUUAUAAUGCUGAUUAUUCUUUAAAUGACUUUAAAAUGUUAAUCUCUGCUUGAGCCUACGGAGAAGUAUGUAACAAAUUUGUGAAGGAUUGGCAUUAAACAUAGUCAAAAUAAAACAUAGAAAUUAUGGUAAAUAAUUUAACUGGUAAAAUAAUCUAAGUGGUAGUUCUCAGGUAAGUGGAAAUUCGAUUAGCUGAUUGUUUAGGAUUCUUGGUUAUAAGUGACAGAGACCUGACUAAAAGUACAUGAAGCACAUAACUGAGAAGGUUGUGGUAUGGCUCAGCAGAAAUGGGAAAAUCUUGGGACUGGUUCGUGUUUUAUUUACAUUAUCUUUGUUCCCAGGCAGUCUCUGCAUGUAAGUGGCAAAGAUGACUGUCUGAAAAUAUAUACCUACUUUUUUAAAGGGCUAUCUCAAGCCAUUCUGGAGAAGCACCAAAAGCCACUUUGCUUAUACUGGGAGAAUAGUUUGCUUUCCCUAAUUUGUGAUGAGUGAAACACUGAACAGAGACAUAGAAUAAUAUUCUGUAGUUCAGGGUUGGUGUAAUAUGGCCAGUGGGCGGAAUCUGGUCCUCAGACUGAUUUUGCAAAUAAUCUUAUAGAAACACAGCAACACCCAUUCAUUACAUGUUGUUUAUGGUUGCUUUGGGGUUACAAUGGCAGAGUUGAGUAGUUGUGACAGAGAUCACUAGGCUCACCACAUCUGAGAUAUGUACUGACUGACCCUGUACAGAAAGUUUGCUGCUCUUAGAGGAAUGUGUGUUUCUAGUGUCAGCAAUAAACUUCUUGGAUUUGUUUUGUUUUCUCAUCUUUACAUGAUAGUUGCAGACUAGUUGAUCCUUGUGACCUGUUUUUGAAUGCCACUGUGUAUUCUGUCAGGGCCCUCUGAUUCUGUUUCUUAUGGUGCUGAAUGCACAAUUUAAUGCCCUGGAAUUUCCUUCUGUCUUCUGCUAAACUCAUGCCUCUUCAGAUAGUUAAAAUCCUGUUCUACCUUAGAAGUCUCCAGAGUUAUUUUCCUAAAUUAAGAAGAACUGGCUUUGAAGUUACUCAUUAUGCCACACACAAUGGUUGAAAAGAGCAUCUCUUAUGUACUGUGUAUAUUUCAGCAUCCACUCAGCUUCUUAGGUAGAAAAGGAAGAGUCUUCCACAGUGUAUUUUAUCCAUAUUUGGGUCAGAAACUCUUCUUUACCACGGAGCGUGAUGGAAGAAAGAUAUGGGAUGGUAACAGUAGGCCAGGGAUGUAAUAAUCACAAAAUUUGAGAUAUUUUGUGACUGGUGACUCACGCCUGUGAUCCCAGCAUUUUGGGAGGCCAAAGCGGGCGGAUCACCUGAGGUCAGGAGUUCAAGACCAGCUUGGCCAAUGUAGUGAAACCUCAUCUCUACUAAAAAAAUAUAAAAAUUAGCUGGGUGUGGUGGUGCACACCUGUAAUCCUAGCUACUCAGGAGGCUGAGGCAGGAGAAUAGCUUGAACCAAGGAGGUGGAGGUUGCAGUGAGCUGAGAUUGUGCCACCACUGCAUUCCAGUCUGGGUGACAGAGCGAGACUCUGUCUCAAAAAAAAAAAAAAAAAAAAUCUAGAAAAAGAUCUCCAAGAUUCAAUCAUCUAAUUAUUUCUUUUAAAAAUGAGAAAAAUGACUCCUGGUCAGCUUUUACCUUCUUUUUCCAACUGUCUUGACAAUACUUUCAUAUUGGGCUUUUAAAGUCUCAAGUAAUAGGUUUUUAAAACCUCAGCUGAUAAAAGUAUAAAAAUAAAGUUAAAACAUAUUAAAGACAAAACCCAAGAAUCAGCUUCCUCUUCCUUCAUUACUCUUGCAUGGGUGUUGGCUCUAAUUUCUCCAUCUAGUUAGGCAGUCCUUUGCUUUUUAUUGCUUGUUUAUUGAUGACAUUUGCCAUUUGUAGCAAUAGUAAUAGAAUCAUCUAUAUAUUUGUGGCCUUGUUGAAUGUAGAAAAAGGAUAGUGGCAUUUUCUAAUUGUGUAACCCUAUAACACCUUGACGGGGGACUACAGUUCAUAUGCUGGACCUUUUGUGUUUGUUCAUGGCGGGUGGGUUGCUUUAAUAUACUUAGCACAUUGUCCUAAUUGCCAUCCUUUUGGGGAGGGCUAUAUAUCCAAGCUAAUAUGGUAGCAUUUUUGUUUUAACAUAGAGCUGACCCAAGGUAGACGUAAGUGUUGUUCAUUUUUGCCUAAUACUAAUAAAAUUACCUAAUUGUUGAAGCUUGGAGCUUGAAUCUAGGCAUUUUAUUUCAUUUCAAGUACACCCUAGUAUUUUAAAGCAUAAAUAUCCUACUAUCCUCAACAACUUUAGAACAAAAAUAAAUAUUUUAACAAGAAAAAAGCAUGCCAUGACAAGCUGUAACUUAGUAAAGAAAGACAAGGAAUGGUCUCUAUAGACCGAGAAAAAAUAGGUCCUCAGAUAUAUUUAUACCAAAGGAAUGUUAUGAAUGUAAAAAACAGUUUGACUCCCCCCCCCCCGCCAAAAAAAAACUCCACAACCCUAUAUUUUGUUAUCACAAGACUGUUUUAGUGAAUAAAACAGUAUGAAUUGGUUUUACCUGUUUCCAUUUAAUACUUAUUAACUUUAUAAUCGUAUAGCCUGAGGGUUUUAACUUCAAGUACAGCAUGAUGACUAUAAUAGUUUUACACAAGGCAAAUGUGAAAAACAGAAGUAAUUUCUUUUAAAAAGUGUGAAAUAUCUAAAAGGUAUGACUUCAAUACAUCAACUCAGGUGAGACAGACAUGUAACUUCUUUUUCCAUGUUUAAACCUAAUAUUGCUUUUGUGCCUCUGAAGGCUCGGAGUUUCCAUGCCUUCUUAGGACAUGCCACCCUCUCCACACCUGGAUGUGUUCACCAACCCAGAAGCUCUUGGAACCCCAUCAUUUGGGGUUUUUAUGGAGUCCCCAUUAAGUAGGUAUGACUGAUUAAAUCACUGGCCAUUGGUGGUUGACUCAAUCUCCAGCCUCUCUUCCCUCUCUGAAGGUGAAGGGGUGGGAAGGUGAGGCUAAGUUCCAACCCUCGGAUCACAGGGUUGGUUCCUCUGCAACCAGGCUUCAUCGUGAAACAAUACAGGGCCCACCGAGAGUCACCCCAUUAGCAAACUCAGAUGUGAUUGAAAGGGGCUUAUUAUGAAUAUCAAAAGACAUUUCUCUUUCUCCUAUUACUCAGACAGUUACAAGGGUUUCAGAAGCUCUUGCACCAGGAACUGGGAACAAAGACCAAAUAUAUAUGUCUUCUUCUAUUACAAUGUCACAGGUGUGACAGAGUAGGUAAAUGGAGUCUCAGAGAGUCCCCAGAGUAUUCCAUGGAGCCACAAAAUGAAGAAUAAAUGGAUGGUUCUCCCCAUGAUCAAAAGUGGCCUGAAAAUACUUGAGAAUGAGUCAUAACUUAAAAGGCUGUAUAGUAGAAAAGAAUGCACAGAGGACCGAAUGUAAAAGAAGGCACCCCAGUCUCAGCUAGUGUGGAUGCAUGCCAGUGUAGAAAGAUGCUAGUGUGGCUACAUUGGUGCACUGAAGACCAAACUCCUGCAUGGCCCCACAUCCUUGAUACCUUAGAUCUAUAUCAUCCCCUAAAACUUAGGUGUUAUGACAUUCAGGAUAUGCUACCCCAUCAUUUUUUAGGCUGAAGGAAUUUGAGAAAACAGAAGCAGGAAUGUAAUUGCCCAGUGGGUUCUUCCUGCCCUGUGCACAGACAAAACCAGUUCACUGAGACCAUGGUAUUGCAGUUAAGAAAGAGUUUAACAGGAGGCUGGCCACAUGGAAGAAUUACAGUUAUUACAAAUUAGUCUCCCUGAAGGCUCAGAGGUCAGGGUUUUUCAUGGAUAGUUCGGUGAGCAGUGGAUUAGGGGUAAGUGCUGCUGAUUGGUUGGGGAUACAAUCAUAGGGGUGUGGAAAAUGGUCCUUGUGUGCUGAGUCACCUCUGGGUGGGAGGCCAUGGGACCCAUUGAGUCAUGAGUCACGAGGCUGGGUUGGGUCAGUGUGAAAAACAUCUCAAAAGACCAAUCUUAGGUUCAAAAUAGGUGAUAUUACCUGUAGGAGCAAUUGGGAAAGUUAUAAAUUAUAUGACCUCUUGGCCCCAUGACUUCUGAGCAGUAAGAGAUGAUAGAAACUAAACCUACAUUUUAUCAGCACUCAGGCCUCUUCCAUAAUCCUAAUCUUGUGGCCUUUCGUUAGUCUUAUAAAGGUGGUUUGGUAACUGCCCUCAAGCAAGGAGGGGAUCAGUUUUAGGGAGGUGCUAUUAUCAUCCUUGCUUCAAAGUUAAGCUGUAAACUAAAUUCCUCCCAUAAUUAGCUUGGCCUACACCCAGAAAUGAGCAAAGACAGCCAGCCUGUGAUGUUAGAAGCAAGAUGGAGUUAGUCAUGUUAGAUUUCUCUCACUGUCAUAAUCUUUGCAAGGGAGGUUCCAGGAAGGUCAUCCUACCUUUCCCCUCACCCUUCUCAUGUGACACAGGUCAUAAAGCCUAGGAAGGAUUUUCCGACCUUUCCCUGAAGCAGGUCGUAAGACCCUCAUUGGGGAGGUGCCAUUUCUAGACCAAGAGAAAAGGCACAUCCUUAUGUCUGAAGACACAGGGACACAGAGAAGAAUCUGAACAAACAGGUCUUGCUAAGUUCCCCCCAGUUUGUUUUCAUUAGAUCAUGCCCCUUUAUUCAAUGCUGUUUCUCCACAACUAUCCAUUUCUUCAUCAAGCCUAGCAUAAAAAAUACAGGUUUCACGGUUUCUUUGGGUCUUCAUUUCCUUAUAAAGUCUCCUGUACCAUGUAAAACUUAAAUAAGUUUCUCUGCUUUUCUCUUGUUGAUUCUGUCCUUUGUUUUAUAACCCUCAGACAUGAACCUAGUGAUGAGUGAGGGGAAGAUAAUUUAUUUUCCUCUACAGAUGCAAAAGGGAAAAGGGAACAAUCCCUAAACGGAAGUUAUGAUCCAGGGAUCAGAGGCUCAAAAGCAAGAUUAGGUUUAAAUGUAGAAAAAUACAUUCCUCUUUCAUUUUAGAUAUCCCAAAUGCCCAAAUCAACCCAGCUAUUUCUCAGAAGUCUGUUUCCCCUCCACCCUCUGCUCCUCUGUGUAGUGAAACUGUCUCGUUUGGGAGUAAAAUGGCCUGGCUUUCCUUACUGAGUAUACUCUCAAGACUAUUGCCUAUUACUUUUUUCCAUUCCUUCUUGAGAACUACGCUUUUUAAAACAAGAAUUGACUCCAUUUAUCUUUUUCUUUUAGCCUUCUGCUGGGGUAUGCCUUCUCUAAAGCAAUGAAUAAAAAAUGCUUUAGCUGAAUAAAUGGGGCAAGGAUCAAGGAGUACAAGCUAAUAUUUCACAAUAUUAUCCUGCCAUAAAUAAAAGUAUGGUUUAAAUGACAAUGGUGGGGUUAGGAGUUACAGGUCACUGAAACACCACCUUAUUCAUGCUACCAGCCCCUUGGCUUUCCUGAUGGCAGCAGGGAAGCAACACAUAGGUAGAAUUAUGAGCCAACAUCGUGACUGGAGAGGGAUUGAAAAUCUUAUUUGUUGUCUUCCUAGACUAUUACAGUUAUCUGUUGAAAUUAGACUCAAUUCUUUGGCGAAAGUACUCAUUUUUAAGGUCCAUAAUAAAUUGUAACUAUGUAGCCUUUGUUGCAUGAGUUUAGUAUGAGCUGAUUGGUGGGCCACAGUGAAAGGCAGAGGGAAAUGGAUGUUAACUAAGAGGUAGAAGUCCCCUUGAAGUUCUGACCCUGUCACUAAUGAAGUCUUUAUUUCCGUAUUUAGUAAUUGCCUUUUUUUUUUUUUUUUGAGACAGAGUCUUGCUCUGUCGCCAGGAUGGGGUACAGUGGCACAGUAUCUGCUCACUGCAACCUCCGCCUCCCAGGUUCAAGCAGUUCCCCUGCCUCAGCUUCCUGAAUAGCUGGGACUACAGGUGUCUGCCGCCAUGCCUGGCUAAUUUUUGUAUUUUUAGUAGAGACGGGGUUUCACUAUGUUGGCCAGGAUGGUCUCGAUCUCCUGACCUCGUGAUCUGCCCACCUCAGCCUCCCAAAGCUAGGAUUACAGACGUGAGCCACCAUGCCCGGCCAACUGCCUUCUUUAUAUCUCAUUUUAAAAAUUUAUAACAAAGAAGUGGGUUGAUUUUCAAGACCUAGUUGUGUUAGUUUGAAUGAGAUGCAUACAUUUGGCAAGUCUGGGGUCUAAGAAAAGAUAAAGAUCUGAAUGCUGAAAAUCUAGAGAAUUCAGGUUACUGGGGGAUAACUUAAAGUCACUAGGGAAUUCGGGUUACUGGGGGGAUAACUUAAGGUCACUAGGGAAUUCGGGUUACUGGGGGGAUAACUUAAGGUCACUAGAACCCAAAUGCAGGGAAGAGUUGGGUGCUCUUUGGCAAAUAAACAUUCCUGACUUAGCAUUUUUCUUAAACCCGAACGUGCCAGCUGUUUUUUUGUUUUUUUGUUUUUUUGUUUUGUGACCUCAGCCAGGCUUGCGUGUUUAUUCAUCACAUAUUCUAAGCUCAUAUACAACUGUGACCUGAUCCAGCCUUCAAGGAACUCACUCUUGAUUUUAGGAAUCUUUCCACCACUUCGAUUUCAUCUUACUCCUGAAACAGUCAGCCAGAACUGUCUAAUUCAGUCUAUACUUCUGAUACAAAACUCUACCCAGCAACCACUAUGGUUUUGUUGCUUUAGGUACGUGUUAGAAAGCACCCACAUCAAUUUACAGAAAAUCCUUAACUGAAUCUCUAGUCCCAGAGGAGUCAUAUUUUAUUAUAUGGUGCUUUUUAUUUAAAGAGAUCGGUUUAAUAGAAAUUACUCAGGCAUUUGAAGUGAUAGCUUUAAAAUGUGGGACUGGGGAAAAUAAGAACACUUGACCUCUCUCCAUAAAAUUGAAUUGUUCUUUAGGUUUAAAGUUUUGACAGACAAAGAGAAAGUGAGAGCAAGUGAGGGUGAAAAUAUAUCCUUAUUUGGUAAUGAGUACCCAUUAAGAGGACAGUAUAUUACAUUUCAUCUUCUUACUUCACAUUCCUGUUUUAAGGAUUUGUGAGCAAAGUGCUGUGAGACCUCUAGAGUUAAGAGGCUGGAGAUAGGUAGUUUUGAUGGUAUUUUAAGGAGUGCUCCAUAAUGUGUAGUGUCUGAGUGCUGAAGCUUAAUCAGCUUCAAUUAAAUCCAAAACAUACUGAAUAGCUCCUAUGUGUCUGGCAUUGAGCUGUGUGCCAAAGUGGUGGAAAGAUGUAAGAGCCACUGAGGCUUAGAGAUGAAAAGGAUCUUGGAGCCACUGGUUUCCUGCCUGCUGGAGUUUCACCAUCAAGGACCCUUUCGUUAUUUUCCUUCUCCCAUGCAUUUUAUUAAAAUUUUUGGUUUAGUAAACCAAAUUCACUAAUGGGAUGUUAUUUUCAUAUCAAAGAGUAUAAUUCUGCCAAUCAAGGCUUCUGAUCAGCAUAAAAUAAUUAGGUUUCAUACUGAAUGCACAAAUUCUAGUCAAAAGCAAAGCCAUUUGAUGACAUGUCUGCUAUGUUGCCAUUUGCUUUAAGAGAGGUAAAGGUAGCCUGACUUCUGUUCACUCUGUAGUACAGAAUACAUUGUUAACAAGUCAUAGGUAUGUUCUUUUAGGUUUCUAAUUACUGUCAGCCUCUCAUUUCAGACAGGUGAUGUGAUAAGGUGAAAUGAUUACUAUAUUUAGACUCAAAAGUCCUGAGUUUGAGUCCUCGUUUAACGAUCUAGUCCAUGAGCUUCAGUUUUCUCACCUGUUAAAUGGAAAUGAUGAUUAUUUCCUGGAAAUUGCAUUUCCAGGUUGUUUUGAAUGAUAAAUGAUAUGGUGUAUAUAUCAGCUGUUUGCAAACCAGAAAAAGCUAUUCUAUGGUAAACACAUGCAGUGGGCUGAAUUGUGUCUCCCAAAAUUCAUAUGUUGAAGUCCUCACCCCCAGGGCCUCAGAAUGUGACUGUAUUUGGAUCUAGGGUCUUCAAGAGAUAACUAAGUUAGAAUGAGGUCAUUUGGGUUGAUCCUAAUCCAACUGACUGAUAUCCUUAUAAGACGACGAAAUUUGGAUACAGAAAUACACAGAAGACAGGGAGAAGAUGGCCAUCUACAAGCUAAGGAGAGAGGCCUCAGAAGAAACACACCUGCCACACCUUGAAUUUGGACUUCUAGCCAUCAGAACUGUGGGAAAAUAAAUUUCUGUUGUUUAAGCCAGGAGUCCUCAACCCCCGGGCUGUGGACCUGUACCAGUCGGUGGCAUGUUAAGGACUGGGCUCCACAGCAGGAGGUGAGUGGUGGGCGAGUGAGCAUUACUGCCUGAGCUCCACCUCCCGUCAGAUCAGCAGUGGCAUUAGAUUCUCAUAGGAGCACAAACCCUAUUGUAAACUGAGCACGCAAGGGAUCUAGGUUGUGCGCUCCUUACGAGAAUCUAAUGCCUGAUAAUCUGAGAUUGAACAGUUUUAUCCCCAAACCAUCCCCUCCACCACCCCCGUGGUCUGUGGAAAAAUUGUCUUCCACAAAACUGGUCCCUGGUGCCGAAAAGGUUAGGGACCAGCGGCUCAAGCCACCCAGCCUGUGGUACUUUGUUACGGUAGCCCUGGCAAAUGAAUACAACACGUUUUAGACUAUGAUGUUACACAUGCAGUGUGUUGAGAGCCAAAGAACCCAAAUGAUUCGUGGUAUCUGCCCUUGAAGAGUUUUUAAUCUUUUUGGGCAUGAUGAAACAUACACAUGGAAAAUAAAAUAGCAUAUAACCAAGUGCCCAAAUCAGUAAUAAAUACAGUUGACUCCAUAAACAUUUAGGAACCUUCUAUCCCAUGUUUCCACAUUCUAUCCCAGUGGCUUUUGCCACUAAAUUUCUUCACCCACUAUUAGACUGAUGUUUUCAUCUUUCAGUAUCAGACUCAAGCUUUAAUCUAGAAAGAGGGGGUGGGGGGAUAAAUGCUAUACUUUGGAACCAGUCCGGAUAUUUUAAGUAUGUUUUUAAAAAGUAUAAUCCUCACAACAUGAAAGUUAUUAGUUCUAUUUUUCAGGUGAGAAGAGUUAAGGUCAAACAGACGAAAGCUAGUUAGUGGAGGGACUGGUAUUCCAAGCCCAUUCUGGUUAAACUAAAUCUUGUGUUCUUUCCACUAGAAAACUGCUUUUUGUCUUAAUUAUAAUUUUGUGACAAGGAUGUAUAGUCCAUUAAGGAAUAUAUACAACAGAAGAAGCAUUUAAGUGGACUUGAGGUUUGUGAAUCUGAACUAGUUUCUAUCGACUUUCACAUCAGCAGCUCCUAUUCUGGGGAAAGAGAAUGGAGGCUGGGAGUGAUCCUGACAAACCUUGAUGUGCAGGCUUGUGGAGAAACUGGAUUCACACCCAGGCUCGUGGAGUGUGGGAGAGGCUGGCCUGUCACAAUAUCAGGACAGCCUCUCUUAAUAACACUGCAGAAGGAAUCGAGGGCCCUGUGGUUUGCGUUUGUUAGACUUUGGAUGGUGGAGACCUGUGCCUGCUACUUCUCUCAUCUCCUGAUACCUAAUGCAUAGUGUUCAGUAAGUAUUUAUUUGGUGAUAACAAUAUCAAAAACUAGAUAAUGCUUAGAAGAUCCAACACCUUCCAAAAUCUCUGUUAACCAGGUACUGAAAUAUGGUCAACCAGAUGAGCUGAAAUGUCAAGAACUUAUAGACACACAUGGUUUCAUGGUUGUGAAACUAGAAGAUGUGGCAUAUUUUACACAAUGGAGGGAAGAGCAAAGGUUAUGCAUGUGCGGAGGCAGAGCCCCUAGGCAGGUUUCCCUCUUUUCCUUCCUGUGCACUGAUUUUUAUUUUGGUGAACUGAAACAGGGGUCUAACAAACUGGUAUCUCAUUUGUCUUUAUAAACAGAACUGCCAGAUUGGCUUUGCAAUUCAGGGCCCUGUAGGGUGCCCACCUCCUCAGUUUGGGCAGCAGCAUUACAUCUGAGUCUUAGAAUAAAAAUGGAAAGCAAUGGCUCAACCCAUUGGUUUGUCACCAUCCACAUGAAGGAUCUCUAUUGGUAAAAAAACAGACUCCCGUGUUCAAGGCCCUGGGGCUGGAAUCAAAUCCAUCAUUCAUUUAUUUCGGUUUUUUAAGGCUAAAUACAUAGGGAAGAAAAUGAAAUGUGAGAAAGCUGUGCAUUUUCAAUGUCAUCUUGAAAGUGAGUAUCUUUAGACACAUAAAGUAGAUGAGUGGUUAACUUGGGCUGGGAGAGGGAGUGAGGAGUGGUUGUACAUGGCACAAGGUUUCUAUUUAGUGUGAUUGAAAUGUUCUAUAAUUUGAUUGAUGAUUGUACAGUUCUGUAAAUAAACUAAAAUGUAUUGAAUUGUAUAAUUAAAACAUGCAGAUUUUAUAUUUAAAAUAUACUUUGAUAAAAGUGUUUUAAAAAUGAAUAUCUCAUAGGGUAGAAUGAAAUGAAUAAGAGAAACAGUGAGGCAUCCAGGGGACUUUCUGCACAGUGGGUCUGUCAUUAGGCAGGUACGUUGCCACAGCCAGUUCUAAUGCCCACUCAUAGGCCAAUGCCUAGGACAAUUGCUCAGAUAUCGCCUCUGACAGGCAAGUGUUCCAUCAGUAACAGCAGGCAUCGGAAGAUGAUGCCAUUCCCUGCUGUUAGUAUGAUUAUAUUGACUUAGGUUUUUAAUUUUCUUUCUUGCUGUGUUUUUUUUUUUUCACCUUCUUAGCCUCUAAAGCAUGAACAUCUGUGUUUUUCAG